CUUUUGUCGUAAAGUUUUGUUUUCAACCGACCCUCAUUGUCAAUUUCUAGAUGUAAGUCAAGAUAUGAGGCCGACUUAACUCUAUCUGUAGUAUCCUUUAUCUGUAGCUCGAUUGGAUAGAUGCGUUCCACAUAGUCACCAAAUUUUGAAUUAUUUAGUGAAAUAACAGUUAAAGUUUUUAAUAACUUCCCGGUCGAUCCUGCAAAAGUUAUGUUAUAUUUGCCAAUGGACGUGUACAACCAAGAAUCAAUAAGAACACAUAGGAUUCAUUUUUCUCUUUAGUAUUCUAAAGGUUUAAUUGUAAUGGAAAACCCGCGUUCAACAUCUCAAUUCGUCAUGUCAUCAGUUUUUUUGUAUUUGAACAAAUAUAUGAUUUAACAUUAAUAUUUUAGUUUACUCAACAGUCUGCAACAUUAUCUUUGCCGCAUGUCUAGAAAACCUCUAAUGAGUAACUUAUAAUAGCUGACAGCCUCGAUCAUUUAUUGUAUGUCACUAAGGGGGCUGGACUUCACCUCAUUUAUUCGAAUAAUAACUACACACUCAACAUAUAUGUCAAGAUGAUAUUAUUGAUGAUUCAAUGAAUAAAUGCACAUAAAUAGAC
rnacentral:lncRNA from 1 species